CUUAUCAAGAGAGGCGGAGGGACUUGGCCCGAUGAAACCUCAGCAACCAGCCAUACGGCCCGGUGCUAAAUCCAACAGGUAUACCUGAAAAGAUAAGG
rnacentral:ncRNA from 1 species